UCUCUCAGAUUAUAUCAAUUUUUUUUAAUAUUUUGACGAGCUGGCCCGACCCAACCCACAGCUCUUAAAGGGCUGGGCUGGGCCAGCUAUAUGCGAUCCCUUUUUUGGCUAGGCCUAGCCCGGCUCCGCCCAUCAAAUUUUAGGCCCUUGUGGGUUGGACCGGGCUAGACUGGGCCGGCCCAUUUGACAGCUCUACCUAUAGUAUCACCCGGUUAGUGCAAUGGUAGCAACACAAAUGAACUGCUAACUUGCCAAAAAAAUAUAAUUUCCUUC
rnacentral:lncRNA from 1 species